rnacentral:rRNA from 1 species
UACGAAGGGGGCUAGCGUUGCUCGGAAUUACUGGGCGUAAAGCGCACGUAGGCGGCUCGGCAAGUCGGAUGUGAAAUCUCCAGGCUCAACCUGGAGGGGUCAUUCGAAACUGCCGUGACUAGAGUUCGGGUAGAGGAGUGUGGAAUUCCUGGUGGAGCGGUGAAAUGCGCAGAUAUCAGGAAGAACACCCGUGGCGAAGGCGGCUCUCUGGUACGUGACUGACGCUGAGACGCGAAAGCGUGGGGAGCGAACAGG